rnacentral:lncRNA from 1 species
CCGGGCACUUGACGAGGCCAGGCGGCCUUCCCAGUGCAGGCCUCCGGGGCCUGCCCAUUCCCUCACCCUCGCUCCCCCUGCCCUUUCUUCUGUUCGUUCUCCUUUCGGAAGGCGCGGUGCGCAGUGGAGCGGAGGCACAGCCGGGGCUGGAGAGGCCCGAGCAAACACACCACUUACUUUGUGUACAGAGGGUUCUUGUGAAAAGCCUGAAGAGUCCUCACCAAACACUCACCAACUUCUCCCACGUGCCAUUUGUUGACUAAGUGCGGCUGUUUUUCCAGGCGCCCGAGAGGAGGGGACGCAAGGGGGAGAUAAAAAGGGGGGUGGAGGCCUGGAGUGGAGGGAAACUACCAAUGCUGGGAGAGUGUGUGUCUGUGUGUGUGUGCGCGCGCGCGUUCUCGCUCGCGAGCGAUGUCGGUGUGUCAGCGUGUAUCCGUGUGUGCCACCAGUUAUCUUCUGUGGUGUGUGUCUUUCGCACGACGGUUCCCUCUCCUGGGUCUGCUCAGUCCACGGAGGCAAUUCCCCUUCAGCUGUUGCCAGAAAACCGGGGAGGAAAGUACCCACCCCCCGCCCUCACCCCUUGGCGUCGGAGGAGGACUUUUCNCUGGCCUGUUCCCGCAGGGGCUGCCCGGGUCAUCCCACCCGGUAGGGGGAGGCUGUCUUUGCCGAAGGAGUCGCGCUGGGGGAUCGCCGCUCGCCUAAGAGUGCCCGGAGUCUCUGGCCCUGAGAAAGUGGGUUCCCAGCCUCGUGGAGCUGACGAAACGGGUCCAACGAGCACCAAACGCAAAGGCGACCAUCCUGCCGCCCAGCCAGGGAAGCCUUCUCCCCUCGGGGCCUCUCUCUUUUCUCCAGCAACCUGCGAGUUUCCAGCUCACUCGGCAGCCUCGCCGAGCCCAGAGCGCCGGGAAGCGGAGGAGAGCAGAAGCCGGACGGGUGGCGCCUCCAGGCUGCAGCCACGCUAGGCUGGGGAAAGCCACGGUGCCCUCGCCCUUCCUCGCCUCUUGCCAAAUGGCAAGUGUGUCUCAGCACCCUCUGGGUUCGAUUCUCUUCCAUUCAUAUUAGGCGGCAAGCGUCUCUUUCUCACACCUCCCCCUCCAAUACUCAGAAAAAAAUAAAAUAAAAUCCCAACUGUGUCUUUCAGCAAAGAGAUCCCUGCUGCCCCGCAGGUCGGACUCUCAAGCCUUUGCCUUCUGGACCCUACAUGCUGUUGUCUAAAUAGGGACCAGGUUUAAAACUCCUGAUAUGCGAGACACAUGCACAUAAUUGCAAGAAACAGCACUCUCCGAUUUUUACAAAUAUGGUUUCUAGGAAAGUUUGCUGUUCAUUUCAUUACCCAGGCUCUCCAUGGCUCCUUUCCCUGUAACCUCCGCCCUUAAGAGGCCAGAGUUCAUCUUCAAAUGAAAAGCAAGCCAAGGCCACCUCAGUCCCUUCUCCCUGGAGAUUCCCUCUCUAAACAGCUGCCUGUUUUUAAAGGCGAGGGACCGAGUCCUGCAGUUUGUCCUGGAUUGGCGCAAGGAACACGCGGGCUGGAAACUGAGGGCUUUGCUGUGGGGUUUGCGGCAGGGGCAGGAGGAGGGAGCAAAUGUCAUGGCUGGCUCGCUCGAGCAGCCAGGGAACCGGAGCUGAGCGUAUCCUGACGGGCUUUUAAAAUGCCAUUGAUUGGGACAAGCUGUUCCCCACCCUGGUAAGAGUUAAUCUGCCUGUUAAGGCACUAAGGGGCUCAAUACGAGUUUUAUUAGCGAUUGGAGAACAGAGGCGGCAGCGAGGGAUCAAAAGCGGAGAUCCCAGAUACCGGUCAGCCCCGUCACAAAAAAAAAAAAAGUAUUAUCAAUUAGGAAACAAUUCGACGCUUUUCAUCACUUCCUAACUCAGUUUCACAGACAGUGACUUACAAACCUGACUAGCGGGGAAAACCAAAGCCGAGGAGCGACCCGGGGUGAGAGGCGCGGGGGAGGAGCUGCGGGUUGGCUCUACCGAGUUCCGCCCGCGAGAGUUUUAAGAAAACUCAGCCCGGGGCCCUGAAGCCUCAGAUUCAUUCCUCCCGAGAGCAGAGAGGAUGAUGAAUAAAACAAUAAAUAUCGCCACCGAUAUCGACACCCGUCCCUCCGGGCAACUCCCAACUGCUCCGGCAGGGCUCCUGCGCACUGUGGCGUCUGGCCCCCAGCGCGCAGCAGCGGGGCGGGCCGGAAAGUUUGCGCAGCGAGAAGGACUCUCCUUCCGUCUCUCCAGCGCUGCCCCCUUCUGCCCCGGAGGGGCGUUUGAUACCCUUCGGCUUUCCUUUAAAAUCCUGAAAUAAAUAAACGUCCAGACCUUGGGGAAAUUUGAAUAGUAACUGAUUCAAUAAUCCAAAUUAUAUGAGUGGAUCUGAGAGAAAAAAAUAAACAAGCCAACUGCAUGUGCCCUCUGAUCAAAGACAGGGGACGGAGAAGGCGACAGAGGAGGUCCCCGGCUAGCCCUGGGCGCGGGGCGAGGACUCUGGUCAGAGGUAAUUAUGUCAGUGCGUUUUCUCGCCGUGACAGCCGAAUAAACACAAUCUCCAAUAAACAUCUCUAAUGAGGGAGGAGGCCCGAGGAUGGCUGGGUUUGAUUUAUGACUGGAAGAGAAGGUUNNNNNNNNNNNNNNNNNNNNNNNNNNNNNNNNNNNNNNNNNNNNNNNNNNNNNNNNNNNNNNNNNNNNNNNNNNNNNNNNNNNNNNNNNNNNNNNNNNNAUUUAUGACUGGAAGAGAAGGUUCACUUCCCACUGCGAAGCGGGUAACCUGCUCGCCGCCCAGCUCUGGAGAACGGAACCCGCGGAGGAGAGGACCCCAGGCUCAGGUAAGGCGCUCGGCCGCGUGGCCACUUCUCUCCUUCCCGGCUUCCCGGAUAAGGUGGGCAGGGGGCGGCCCUUGCUCAGAGUUGGGCGGUGGUCCUGAGCACCUGUCACAGGUGCCUGAAAUAGAAAUGGCCUCCGAAGGUGCUCCCAGAAAGCCUAGAGAGGGGAUGCCAGGAGCACGAGGGAGUGUGGGGAGAACCCAGGCCUGACCUAGAGCCCCCCCAACCUCUCAGGCGGGUGCUCCAGUGCCUGGCGUAAGACUUUCUGGCAUCUCCGGCUGUGUGGGGCUAGACUCCUGAACCAAGAGGUAGUGUGGGGUCGUCUCUAACCUGACUCACUUUGGAGAAACUUCCGGCGGCCGGCUUGGGUUGUCCUGGGACGUGAGAGUAGCUGGGCGCUGCUCUCCCCGGCACUCAGAGGUCCGACUACCCUGGCGCCCACUAUCUUCCCACACGGGCAGCGAGCACAGCGCCCGCGGUAACCCGAGCCGCGCGUUCUAGCUCAGUGAGAAUCGCUAAUUAUUAGGUCUUCCGAAGUGAAGCUCAAAUCGCACGCUGCGUGCUUUACGCGCUGCCCAGCUCUGUGGGCAGCAUUCUUUCGUCCUCCUCUCCUUUCUGAGAAACGAACUCCUAUCUCUAAGACUUUGUUUCGGCGCAACUACCUACACUUUGCAGCCGCCGGAAACUUUUGCUGCACUUAGCCCGAACCGCGCGGCGGGGCGUUUCUACGCGCUCCAGGCUCGGGUGGGGACCUCUGCACGCGUGAAUGCCGCGAACUGCUAGUCAAGGGAGUUCCAGGUACAAACU